GAUGAACGCUGGCGGCGUGCCUAAUACAUGCAAGUCGAGCGAACAGACGAGGAGCUUGCUCCUCUGACGUUAGCGGCGGACGGGUGAGUAACACGUGGAUAACCUACCUAUAAGACUGGGAUAACUUCGGGAAACCGGAGCUAAUACCGGAUAACAUGUUGAACCGCAUGGUUCAACAGUGAAAGACGGUUUUGCUGUCACUUAUAGAUGGACCCGCGUCGCAUUAGCUAGUUGGUAAGGUAACGGCUUACCAAGGCAACGAUGCGUAGCCGACCUGAGAGGGUGAUCGGCCACACUGGAACUGAGACACGGUCCAGACUCCUACGGGAGGCAGCAGUAGGGAAUCUUCCGCAAUGGGCGAAAGCCUGACGGAGCAACGCCGCGUGAGUGAAGAAGGUCUUCGGAUCGUAAAACUCUGUUAUUAGGGAAGAACAAAUGUGUAAGUAACUAUGCACGUCUUGACGGUACCUAAUCAGAAAGCCACGGCUAACUACGUG
rnacentral:rRNA from 1 species